UCUGACUAAUUAAAUUCUCUAUGUGCGUGACCCCGUAGGUUCUAUUCUGACUGGUAGUGAGACAUAUUGAGAUCUCCAUCUCAAUAUCACUGAAACUCCUUUCAGUGGACUGAAACGAUUUCAGUUCUGCUCUCAGGGUUCACUGAUCACCCAGUGAAUGCCUUCAAGUCUCACAAUCCACUAGUGACACCUAGUAGUAUGUGGUGGCAACCCAGCAGAAUGGAAUGUCUGAACCUCUAGGUACAGUUAGCGUAUGAUACGAUCCCUCUAUCAUGGAUCCCGACGUGACGGAGGUUAUGGAUAUCUCAUCAAACCCCAUCGUCCGUCAUAUGUCAAAUUUAUACGACUUCCAGUUCGAGAUAUGGAAAACUCUUUUUCUAAAAUGCCUGGCCAGAAAUUUAUGGAACUCAAUCUCAUAAAUCACAUAGGAUCACUCCUAAUCUAUCAAGGUCGAUAGAUCCCAUUUAAAUGCAACCCUAUUCCAAAAUGAACCUACUGUAGCCAAUCCGCACUACAAGGAUCCGGAUGGCUAGGGCCCAAGUUCACAUGCUCGUUAAACUACAGCAACCUCACAGUGAAUAGCUGAGGCAUCACAGGUCAAAGGACCAGUCAUACAACUGCAACAUAAGUAGUCACUGAUGAGUGGAUAGACAUCCAUGUGACUACUAUCUUUGGUCACGCUCAGUACCUUGUUCUCUAACAAGUACUCGCAUAAUCACUCCAAUGUCUCUACAUCGUGGACUCGAGACUCGUCCAUCUGACUAAGUGAUCUGUACACUAAUCUCAGCGGAUCGAUCACCGUCCCUCAUGAUGGAUCCAUUGAUCAGGAGCAUUUAAAAAUUAAUCCUUAAUGACACAUGCCUCAAAUUCUCAACUUCUUGAGAAUAUGUGUCUUCAUCUAUUAAUUUCUUGGACGACUCA
rnacentral:lncRNA from 1 species